GACGAACGCUGGCGGCGUGCUUAACACAUGCAAGUCGAACGGAAAGGCCCUGCUUUUGUGGGGUGCUCGAGUGGCGAACGGGUGAGUAACACGUGAGUAACCUGCCCUUGACUUUGGGAUAACUUCAGGAAACUGGGGCUAAUACCGGAUAGGAGCUCCUGCUGCAUGGUGGGGGUUGGAAAGUUUCGGCGGUUGGGGAUGGACUCGCGGCUUAUCAGCUUGUUGGUGGGGUAGUGGCUUACCAAGGCUUUGACGGGUAGCCGGCCUGAGAGGGUGACCGGACAAGUGGGGACGGGGCUGAGACACGGACGAAUCCGGGAGGCGAGGGCGGGGUGGGGAGCAGAGGGGAAGGGGGGAUGAUGCGGCGACGCCGUGUGGGGGAAAAGGGGAAGGGGGUAGGAAAGCGAAAUCGCUUGUGACGGAGCGUGAAUGACGGUAAUGGGAAAAGAAGCACCGGCUAACUACGUG
rnacentral:rRNA from 1 species